rnacentral:rRNA from 1 species
CCCUUAGAUGUUCUGGGCUGCACACGUGCUACGCUGGCAGGUUCAGCGAGCUUCAUGCCCUGAUCUGAAAGGAAUGGGAAAUCUUUUCAAAACCUGCCGUGCUUGGGAUAGAUGUUUGCAAUUAUUCAUCUUCAACGAGGAUUGCCUUGUAAGCGCACGUCAUCGGCGUGCAUUGAAUACGACCCUGUAUUCUGUACACACCGCCCGUCGCUCCUACCGAUUGAAGUUUUCGGUGAGUUGACAGGAGGAUUUUUUUGAAACUGGUUCGCCAGUGGAUUUUAGAUCCAAAUGCCAACGAAUCGAUGGCUUUAGAGGAAGGAGAAGUCGUAACA